AUUUCAUAACGGCAAACUAUCUGAAAGGAUAGGACGCAAAGCAAUGGGCCUAAAGAUGCAAACAUCGCAUCCAUGGCUGCCAGGCUGCCAAG
rnacentral:ncRNA from 1 species